rnacentral:rRNA from 1 species
UACGUAGGGUGCGAGCGUUUGUCCGGAAUUAUUGGGCGUAAAGAGCUCGUAGGCGGCUUGUCACGUCGGGUGUGAAAGCCCGGGGCUUAACCCCGGGUCUGCAUUCGAUACGGGCUAGCUAGAGUGUGGUAGGGGAGAUCGGAAUUCCUGUGUAGCGGUGAAAUGCGCAGAUAUCAGGAGGAACACCGGUGGCGAAGGCGGAUCUCUGGGCCAUUACUGACGCUGAGGAGCGAAAGCGUGGGGAGCGAACAGG